rnacentral:other from 1 species
CUCCCCCUGCGUGGUUCGUGAUCUGUUUGUUUUUAACCCACAAAACGACGAAAAGGGAUUCCGCGUUCUCUCGCGGUUCGCAGGCCUCCCGCCUGCCUUUUGCGGGCGGAAGUUGGAAGCGGUAAAACGAGAGACAGGUUGCCCACCUGGACAAUAUGUGCAGGUUAUUUUCGGCAGACACGGCCUUAUCGCGGGGGACAA